rnacentral:rRNA from 1 species
UGGCGGACGGGGUGAGUAAUGUCUGGGAAACUGCCCGAUGGAGGGGGGUAACUACUGGAAACGGUAGCUAAUACCGCAUAACGUCGCAAGACCAAAGAGGGGGACCUUCGGGCCUCUUGCCAUCAGAUGAACCCAUAUGGGAUUAGCUUGUAGGUAAGGUAACGGCUUACCUAGGCGACGAUCCCUAGCUGGUCUGAGAGGAUGAUCAGCCACACUGGGACUGAGACACGGCCCAG